GUCCAGGUCCCAGGGGGGUCCAGGUCCCAGGGGGGGUCUGGUCUGGGUUCUAGUCCCCCGUUGGGGGGGUCGUCUACACCACCACCUAGGGCUGGGCGAUUUUGGACAAAAAUAAAAUCCCGAUUUUUUUUCUCUGAAAACCCGAUUUUCGAUUUCGAUUUUUUUGGUAAAACCACAAAAGACAAUGGAAUAAAUUGUUUCAAAUAUUUUAUCUUUAUUUUUAAAGAAAAAUAUCAAACAAAUGUCCCUAUUGGGAAUGAAGUGCAAUUGAAAGAUCCUGUAAAUCCUCCUUGAGUUUAGUAAAGUGACAACAUUUACCAUUUUCUUGACCAAACAGAGACGACUAGACGAGCUCUGUCUGUAACGCAGCUGCAAAAAAGGAACAUCCAUUUUCAGAUGUUCCUUUUUUUAACAUCGUCUUGAUUAAUAAAUCCGAUUUAGAUUUAAAGUCGAUUAAUCGCACAGCCCUACAUCCACCGGUCGUCUAACUCACUAACGUUCGCUCGGAGAUCCUUGUUCCCCCAACUCUCCGGCUUUUUAACUAAAGGUGAUCCUUAAUGUUCCUGGUUCAAAGAAAGUCUUGGACUGGGAGGAUCCUGGUGGACCAUGAUGGUUUUACCACCCCCAGGUGGUCCCCCGUCCCCCCAGGGGGUCCCCAGACCCCAAACCGUCUUCACUAACCAGGUUUACAAGUGUCUUGUCUGCGGUUGAACAGCAGGACAGACCUGUUCCAGUUUUACCUCCUUUACCAAAGCUCUUCCAAAGCUCCUGAGGAUCUACGGACCUCUGGGACUCGCCGCCCUCGGUGCACAAAGGUGUAACCUCAAAGGAAAGGUGCAUCUCAAAGGUGCAUCUCAAAGGUGCAUCUCAAAGGUUCAUCUCAAAGGUGCAUCUCAAAGGUGCAUCUCAAAGGUGCAUCUCAAAGGUGAAUCUCAAAGGUGUAACCUCAAAGGUGAAUCUCAAAGGUGCACCUUAAGGUGCAACCGGGGCAGAAACAUAUGCAAACCCUAAGUGUUCAACACCAGCCAGUUUCCCCAAGCCAAUAACUAAACAAGUGUGUGUUUUGUGUGCGUGUCGGUUGUGAAGUAAGUGCAGCGUUCUGGGAAUCUUUUAAUGUUGGAAACCUUCCAGGUGAAUUUAAACGGGGAAUAUUUGGGAACUGACGGGAACGGACAGGAACUUUAACUGCAGGUUCCAACCAGGAACUUUGAUUUGCUCGGGGGGGAGAACUUUGAUUAAAACGGACAGAUUUACCCUGCCCCCCCUCACUCCCACACUGCAGGAGCCGGUGUUUUGCCUUCAGAGAUGAGAGAUUAGUCUAUAAUAAAGUCAAAUAUCAUUUUUAAAUCUAGUCAUGACCAAACAAAAGUUUCAUAAUCUUGUUUGUGGAAGUAAAUUAGCCACAAAAGUCCAAACCAUUCCCAUUUAUUCCCAUUUAUUCCUGUGUAAAGUUCCAUCUGACCAAACCGUCGUCUCAGGUUCCGCUUUCCACCAAACCGGUUCCUGAGUUUCUGUUUCCACUGACAAAGAACUGGUUCCUGGGCCAGAAGAACCGGUUCCAAGGCAGAAGAACCGGUUCCAAGGCAGAAGAACCAGUUCCUGGGCCAGAAGAACCGGUUCCAAGGCAGAAGAACCGGUUCCAAGGCAGAAGAACCGGUUCCUGGACCAGAAGAACCGGUUCCUGGACCAGAACAACCGGUUCCAAGGCAGAAUAACCGGUUCCAAGGUAGAAGAACCGGAACAAGUUAGCACCAACUGACGUGGCUCCUCUGACACCGUGUCCUAACUGCAGCGUCAGCGAUAAAAUCAAUUCCACUUCUUUAUUUUCUAUUGGACUGUCCAAACUGGACGCAGCGCAACACGCCGUUUUGAGCUGAACAUUGCGUGAGUUUUUUUCGUGCGUGUGUGUUUUUUUCGUGCGUGCGUGCGUUUUUUCGUGUGUGCGUGAGUUUUUUUGUGCGUGCGUGAGUUUUUUUGUGCGUGCGUGCGUUUUUUCGUCCGUGCGUUUUUGCGUGCGUUUUUGCGUGCGUGCAUGCGUUUUUGCGUGCGUGCGUGCGUGCGUGCGUGCGUGCUUGCGUCUUUGCGUGCGUGCUUGCGUGCUUGCGUUUUUACGUGUGUGCGUGCAUUUUCUCGCGCAUGCGUUUUUUUGUACGUGCGUUCUUUCAUGCGUUUUCGACAUUUCGACUUUUUUCUCAAAAUUUCAACUUUUUUCUCAAAAUUUCAAAAUUUCAACUUUUUUCUCAAAAUUUCAACUUUUUCAUCAAAAUCUUCGCUGUGCAGCGUUUCGAGCUGAACAUUUGUCGGACGUCCUGCUUCUUUUUUCUUCCUGUCGCUGGCGUUGAAAGCCAGUUUUAGCUGUCAAUCAAAAUAAUGUGGGGGCCAUAUUAAGCGUCCGAUGUCGCGCAGUCCGACGAUAGUCGACGCUCACAUGCAGUUAGAACCCGAUCUGUGGAAAAACAAACCGGUUCCAGGUGGUUCCCAGUUGAAGUAGUGAACCAGAACCAGACCUGGACCUGGUUUGAUGUAAACGGGUACCGGUCCCGGUAAGUUCCUGGUUCCAGAACUGUAACAGGAUCCUGGUGUUCGUGGCAGCUAAUGUUGUUUAUGCCAAAUUCGAAGCCCCGCCUCCUCCGUGACGUCACGGCGAAGCCCCGCCUCCUCCGUGACGUCACUGGUAGAACUUUAGUUUUCUAAAACCCGGAACCGGGAACUGGAUUAGGAACCGGAACCGGGACCAGGAACCGGACCAGGAACCGGAUCCUGCAUGAACUUCCUCGUGGACCAACUUUUGUAACUUUGUUGUGUUUUAUUGUAUAAAUGAACCUUGUUAAAAUUAACCUGUGUACAUAAAUAUACAUAAUAUAUUAAAUUAUUUGUUUUGGAAA